CCCUUCCCCCGUGACCCUGAUAAGGACAUGCAGAUGAGAAUGCAUUGAUGAAUAGAUGAUCCAAACAGUUUUGGUUUGAGACAGGGAGAGAAAAGAAAAAGCUAACAUCACUCAGGGAUGGAGAAACAUAAGAAAGACAGGACAGAAGAGGAAGAAGAGAGGUUAGAUUUAAAGGAUGUCAGUGGGGCCGUUUGAACUCCUGAUGGCGUAGCUGGGAAUCGCAUUUGAGAAGGCACAGAAAUUAUUUCAGAACCAACUGACACAGAGCAGCAGGUCAGAAUGGUCAGGGAUAGGAUAUUCAGGUGGGGAAACGUGGAUGACGGGGAAGUGGAUGUGGAGAGCAGCGUGGAAAGUUUAGAUCAACAGUCCAGAACACAUAAAGGAUGAAUUCUGGAGCAGAGCAACCAAAUCCAAUGGGGUUCAGGCCUGAGAAGCAGAGCUGAUGAGGGCUGCAGACUGGGGUUCAGCAGUGUAGAUGGCAGAUGAGAGAGAGGAAUAGGCCUGGAAAAGAUGUGAGAGAUGGAAGCAGAUGUGGAUGAUGUGAUAAACUUUGACUGCUACAGUUGAUUAAUAUAUUAAAAUGUUUUGUUUUGCUUUGUUUUGUGUUUUGCUGUAGCUAGCUGUGUAGUGAAUUUUAAUAUGAAGCUAAUGACCUGUUUCAAAAUGAACACUUUUACAUAGCCUAUAUACUUUUUUUUAGCUUAGCUAAUAGGACAUGUGAUCCAAAACUUGGAUUUUUGUUUUUGCAUAUUUUGUUCUCCUAAAACAAUUACAUUGCUUAUAUUUUGGUUAUUGUGGUGCUUGUUGUACCCUUCAUGUAUGAGAGGAUUAUAAAUAUAUAUUUUGCCUAUUUUACAGUUGGUAAUGAAAUAAUGUAAGUCAUUUGUAAAACUAAUUAAAAAACAAAACUUAAUGUUAAAUCCUCAACUACUCAAAUAUUACAUCUAAUUAGAAAAUUAAAUGUAGAUGAACAUAUUCCGUUUAUCGGGUGAGGUCAGGGAGUUGAUGUGUUGGUUCAAAUGUUAAGUGAAACAAUUUUCAAAGUGUGUGUUAUACAUACUGACCACCUGUAGGACCCUGUACAAUUGCCAGGUGCUAAAAAUAGAGUGUGUCACACUUUAAAGAUAACUUUUAAUGCUUCAAGGUAUGUUUUGGCUGCCCACAGUAAGACAAAUGUGUACUGUUGCUGCUCUUUUGGCUCUAGGGCUCGGCCACUUCCUGUCACUGAAGGCUAAAUGAAUUUCCAAGUUUAUCAAGAUAUCUAACAGGAUAAUGUCAGAGUAGCUGUGUAAUAGUGAAAGCUCAGAAGAAAAUGUGUGAAGCUCCAGGACAAUGACCCUAAACAGCAAAGUAAAUCAACUACAGUUUAACUUCAAAUAAACUUUCCUUUGCAAGUGACCCAGUCAGAGCCAAGAACUCAGCCCAAUAGAGAUGGCCAAAGCCUAAGAGUGGUUAAAAGAAAAAAGAAAAGAAAAAAAAACCACAAACAAAAAUGUCUUUUGUUGCAUGCAUGUGUUGUACUGUAUCCGUGUUGGGUUCAGCACGAGG